rnacentral:rRNA from 1 species
GUGACGAAGCGACGCCGCGUGGGUGAGGAAGGCCCUCGGGUUGUAAAGCCCUGUCAGGAGUUAAGAAGUGUAAGUGUGUUAAUACCACAUUUAUUUGACGAAGGCUCCAAAGGAAGUCACGGCUAACUCUGUGCCAGCAGCCGCGGUAAUACAGAGGUGGCAAGCGUUGUUCGGAAUUAUUGGGCGUAAAGAGCACGUAGGUGGGUUUGUAAGUCAGAUGUGAAAGCCUUCUGUUCAACGGAAGAAUUGCAUCUGAAACUGCGAGUCUUGAGUAUAGGAGGGGAGAAUGGAACUUCUGGUGGAGCGGUGAAAUGCGUAGAUAUCAGAAGGAACGCCGGCGGCGAAAGCGAUUCUCUGGCCUAUUACUGACACUCAGUGUGCGAAAGCUAGGGGAGCAAACGGGAUUAGAUACCCCGGUAGUCCUAGCCGUAAACGAUGGGCACUAAGUAGAGGGGUUUU